GACGAACGCUGGCGGCGUGCUUAACACAUGCAAGUCGAACGGAAAGGCCCUGCUUUUGUGGGGUGCUCGAGUGGCGAACGGGUGAGUAACACGUGAGUAACCUGCCCUUGACUUUGGGAUAACUUCAGGAAACUGGGGCUAAUACCGGAUAGGAGCUCCUGCUGCAUGGUGGGGGUUGGAAAGUUUCGGCGGUUGGGGAUGGACUCGCGGCUUAUCAGCUUGUUGGUGGGGUAGUGGCUUACCAAGGCUUUGACGGGUAGCCGGGCUGGGAGGGUGACCGGCCAAAUUGGGACUGAGAUACGGCACAGCCUCCUACGGGAGGCAGCAGUGGGGAAUAUUGCACAAUGGGCGGAAGCCUGAUGCAGCAACGCCGCGUGCGGGAUGACGGCCUUCGGGUUGUAAACCGCUUUCGCCUGUGACGAAGCGUGAGUGACGGUAAUGGGUAAAGAAGCACCGGCUAACUACGUG
rnacentral:rRNA from 1 species